AAGGCUGGAAUAACAAAUUAGCAAAACUGUUAAGACUUCAGGAUAAUGAAGUAAAAAAAAACAUGCCAACACAAAGUACAUGCAAAAUAGUUCAGAGGAGCUCUACGGGUUAGGUUAAAAACAUUUCCGUGAAACGGUGAAGGACACGAUGCUUAUCAUGAUUGAUUUAUAGCACUUGAAGAGUUUUAAAUCAAGUGCCUUCAAAUCUAAACUGUCGAGAAUGAACCCGGCCGGGAGUGCCCCAGGAGAUUCCACUGUGAUUCACUGCGAGGUGACGGAUUUGUUUGUUUCCCUAGAAACCACCUCGCUUCCAGAGAACUGCGCAUUCAGUUUAACUUCAGAAGAAAAGAAUCGGCAGACUGCUGUUUUCCAAGCGGCACUUCUGGCCAUUUGGACUCGGAAUCUGACUGAUCCAUAUUCAGGCUGCUGUCAAAGGAGCAGGAUGAUGGAGGCUAUGAAAACAAGGAGAUAAUUGGUUCCCUCCAGGCUACAGACACACAGCUAAAAGAAAUACGUCACCGCUGAGCGCGUGCAGAACAGGAAGCAUGUGGCACAGCAACGCACCUGCGGAUUUGAGGAGGAGGCCUGGCUUUGCUGCUGGAGCUCCCAGAGUGACUUAGGAAUCUGCACACACAAGACAGUCACGUACGAUAAAGCCUCUUGUCACCAUUGUCACUCCCAAUUCCCGAAUCAGGCCCGUGGUUCUUACUGGGAUAAAAAUCUUCCAUGCUGCGCACAGGUAAGAACACGAGUGGGUACGGCACAAAAACGUGUGAGAACUACAACACAACAAUCGGUG